GGUGGGGCUUAAUACUUCCAACACCUGAGUGCCCCGGCCCUCUCCCCGUUGAGUUUUUAGUUUCCUAUGCUGUGCCUAGUAGCACCUAGGCUGGGAAUGACAUUGCCCUGUCUGGGUUUUUAUAAUUGUCUUUCUCGUGUUCCGACCUCCAGCUGGAGAAUCCACCAUGUCUCCUUGACUUGGAUGGCGAGAAAUGUUGGGGAGUUGUUGAAGGUGGCGACUUCUCUAAGGAUGUGACUUCUAUCGCCAGACCUUAGAGAAUAGGAGGUGAGACGUCAGCAAACUGAGAGGAGGGGGUUCCAGAGGAACCAGGAGGACCGUGAAAGCUCAGAAGAAGAUGGGCAUUCGGUUGCAGUGAAAGGAAGUGACUAAGACUCCAGUGAAGAGAGGUGACUAGGACCCUCACGGCGCUCGCUCAGCCUCAGUCUCCUUUCCACUCCUGCUCUGGCGUGAUGUCUUCAGCAUCUUCCAGCCAGACUCAGCUCCAACCUCCCUGUGCUAUGACUCAUUCCCAGAGACACACGCUUCCACACACUUUGGUACCCGGUGGUCAGACCCUGAUCUUGAAACUUCUAGAAACAGCCCUCUCCCUUCUGAAGUGUUUGCCUCAAGAAACACUCCCCAAAUCUGUUCACUCCACCAUCUUCUCAGGCUUUUCUCUUGAGCAUAACAUGUGUUUCCAGCUAUCAAACCUUUAAGCCCACCGUGCUCCCUACCUAGAAGCCUCUUCCUGCUUCCGUGUGCUGGGCACAAAUCCUGGUCUAUGCAAACUCAGUCAAAGCACCUGUUAGAAAGCAGCCAUUAUGCCCAGCAGCAGUUCCACAAAGCUUAGUGAGCUAACCAAGGGCACCAGCAAUGAGCACACCAAACUAGACAAUUCCAGGAUGCCUAAAUGCUACACAUAAUCGACAGGCAACUCAGGAAAGCUGGGAGCCUGAAAGGUGCCCCCCUUCCCGGAAAAGCACACCAAUUGAUUGUCCAGUGCCAAACAGUCAACCCUGAAAACAUGUAAGCAAGUCACAUUGUACGGAAUGAACAGGAUAUAUUUAGGGGAGUGUGUGUGUGUGUGUGUGUGUGUGUGUGUGUGUGUGUGCAAAAUAUGAUCAUGCUGUCUGAUUUCUUCUGUUGAUUAAACUACUGAAACAACACCUGCCGUGGGGCUGGAGAGAUGCCUGGACAGUUAAGAGCAUGGACUGCUCCUGCAAAGGACCCAAGUUCAAUUCCCAGCACCCAUAUCAGGUGACUCAGAACGGCUAUAACUCCAGGUCCAGAGUGAUCUGAUACCCCUGGCUUCUGAGGCAUCUGUAAUCACAUGCAUGUACCUAUAUGCAAAUUCACUCAUAUACUCAUAAUUAAAAAUAAAAAUAAAUUUUAAAAAGAA